rnacentral:tRNA from 14 species
UGGCGCAAUGGUAGCGCGUAGCACUCCUAAUGCUGAGGUUCCGGGUUCGAAUCCCG